GGAUCCAGACUUUGAUUCUGGCUCAGGAUGAACGCUAGCUACAGGCUUAACACAUGCAAGUCGAGGGGCAGCAUUUUAGUUUGCUUGCAAACUAAAGAUGGCGACCGGCGCACGGGUGAGUAACACGUAUCCAACCUGCCGAUAACUCGGGGAUAGCCUUUCGAAAGAAAGAUUAAUAUCCGAUGGUAUAUUAAAACCGCAUGGUUUUACUAUUAAAGAAUUUCGGUUAUCGAUGGGGAUGCGUUCCAUUAGUUUGUUGGCGGGGUAACGGCCCACCAAGACUACGAUGGAUAGGGGUUCUGAGAGGAAGGUCCCCCACAUUGGAACUGAGACACGGUCCAAACUCCUACGGGAGGCAGCAGUGAGGAAUAUUGGUCAAUGGACGAGAGUCUGAACCAGCCAAGUAGCGUGAAGGAUGACUGCCCUAUGGGUUGUAAACUUCUUUUAUAUGGGAAUAAAGUAUUCCACGUGUGGGAUUUUGUAUGUACCAUAUGAAU
rnacentral:rRNA from 1 species